UCUGCGGAUGUCCUCCCCAGCUUAUAAAUACCACACCCAGGAGGUCCAUAGUGACUAGUGACCAAAGUUAGUUUCCCAGUCUGUGAGUCGGUGGGCACUAAGGGCGGGAUUACACUUCCUACGUAGGCUCUCCAUAAAAGGAAUCUGCCCCUAGGUCUGUCGAAGAUGCUUACUGUUGAGACUGGCUGCUGAACGCCUCAUGGUGAAUGUGUAACUGGCAGAAAAUCCUACACCUCUCAGCCAUGCUGUCUGUCUCUCAUUAACAAAGGCCCUACGCAAUACAAGCCUUACUGGCAGCAGAUAGAAUAGGCCGACACACUUCACCGAGUCACAGGAUAUUUUAAUCGGCACGCCAACUUUUUGAUCUCUGUGUGAUGUUGCGUGUCCUCACUCUCUGAGGUUAUAAAGUUGGCUGAAAGUUUUCUUAGUGGUGUGUAUAAGUGUGGAUGUGUAUAUUGUUUGUUCCGGAACCACAUGUCUUCAAUUGGAUAUUUAUAUCUCAUUCUGAUAUUCUUGUGCUGAAGAAGAGCAGGGUCACCUAUUAUGCAGAAGAAGUAUGCCUGCGUUAAGUACGUACACUCACGGGUAACUGUGUAUUACACAAGUAAAAUUGAGCUUAAGUGGCGGAGAUCACUACAUAGUUGUGCUGUGUGUGAUGUUGCUCAACUGAAGAAGUUGGGCUUACCCUGUGGAGCUAUACAUUAUGGGAUAUGUACAGCUGUUGCACUACCCUUCCCUCUCAACCUUGUCAACUGUAAAAAACCCACAGGCACACCAGCAAAGAAGCCGAUCCAGAGAGUUCAGCCUAAAGUCAUCUCACAGCCGGCUGUGUCAAAUGCGAAGGAAGAUAGUCUGCAGAGCAUAUUACGAGAUGAGUGUCCUCAAGAGAAAGAAAAAGAGCCAAACAGCCAUCCAGUCAUUGUGCCCCACUCCACAGAGGACAAGGAAAAUAAGCCCAAGAGGCGGGACUUGCCAACACCAAGGACUAGUGUUCACAGUAGUGCCAAUAUUCCCAAAUUUUAUUUCCCAAUGGGACGACCACCCAAAAUUGACAACACAGACUCUGUAUUACAGAAAGUGGCUCAGGAAUUCUCUAACUUGGAAGGUGGAAAAGCUUACAAGCAACAAAUGGGCCUUAUAGCAAAGGCUUGUGGUGUUCCGUUCUACUGGAAGUGCCCGCUGUUCCGAGGAUCAGGGGGAGAUAAGCAGGGAUAUAUUACCUACCAGAUGUUUGCCUCUAUGUGGAAGAAGCUGAUGGAGAGUUAUCAUGAUGAGGCGUCACGGUUUGUCAAACUCCUGGCAAAACCCAACUGUAACUACCUUGAUGAUGACGACCUUGUGCCUCUUGUACAGGAUGUAGUAGAAUCUCACCCAGGGCUUAGUUUCCUCCAAGAAGCUCCAGAAUUCCAUUCUAGAUAUAUAAAUACGGUGAUAGCACGAAUGUUCUUCAGCAUCAACCGGUUGUGGACAGGGCGGGUAACGGUACAGGAGAUACGUCAAAGUAAUCUACUUAGGACAUUAGCUUUACUUGAGGAUGAGGAAGACAUUAAUCAGAUAACUGAUUUCUUCUCCUACGAACAUUUCUAUGUGAUCUACUGUAAGUUUUGGGAGCUGGAUAAGGAUCAUGACUUGUUCAUAGACCGGGGAGAUCUCGCCAGACACAAUGACCAUGCGUUAUCGUCUCGGGUGAUAGACAGGAUAUUCUCAGGGGCAGUGACAAGGGGUGAGAACUUCAAAGUCGGUCGAAUGAGUUAUCCAGAGUUUGUGUGGUUUCUGAUUGCGGAGGAGGACAAGAGACACCCAACCAGUGUGGAGUACUGGUUCCGCUGCAUGGACCUGGACGGGGACGGAGUUAUCUCCAUGUACGAGAUGGAGUACUUCUAUGAGGAACAGAUGCAGAAGAUGGAGGCAAUAGGAAUUGAGAAAUUACCAUUUGAAGACUGUCUGUGUCAGAUGCUGGAUCUUGUUCGACCAAAACACAAAGAACAGAUAACCCUGAGUGACCUCAAGUCAUGUAAGAUGACAAACAUUUUCUUUGACACAUUCUUCAACCUUGACAAGUUCCUGGAACAUGAACAAAGAGACCCGUUUGCUAAUGUGAGGGACCCUGAGACUGAUGGGCCAGAACCGUCAGAUUGGGAGAAGUACGCUGCUGAGGAAUAUGAGAUUCUUGUAGCAGAGGAAGGGGCCAAUGAACAAGAAGAAAUCUGGUAUAGGGAUUUUCAGCGCAGACAUUAUGAGGAUGACUUUGAACCUGAUGAUGACGACAGUCUAGGAGAGGAAAUAAUUCGUCUGGCUGAUGUACCACAGCGUAAAUCCUCGCCAGUUGUACGACAGAACCCAGCAGAUGAUAUUUAUGAUUUUAGUACAAAAAACCUUGGAUAUUGACAAUCAAAGGGAGAUGACUCUUGUUUAUGGCAUACAUGCAGUCAGAGCUGUGUGUACAGCACAAUCAAAGGGGGAAUUCAUCGCUGAUCCUAGUCCAGUCUGAGUCACAAUGUUUCUAUCAUAAUGGGCAUACUUCUGGUCUAACAUGCAUUUUCAGUUUCAGAGAAUCAACAGUUUAUAUAUCAGAGUUUGUAUUCACGCAUGUGAUAAUCAAGGCAUAUUUUCCCUGCAUAUAGAAGGGGGAUGUUCAUUAUGGCACCUUGUAAAGGUACACAUGAUACACACAGAGACAUUCAAGCUUUAUAUUUGCAUGUUCAACAAGGUUUUGGAAAGCUUUAACAAAUGUAGCAUCUACAAAUAGCUAGACCAUGGGCAGACCAUGACUGUUUCCUGUUUAUAUCUUAGUCCUGCUGAAACACAGUGUACAGGCAGUUUACUCUAUGAAGUAUGUGUAGAUACUGUAGAUACAGUGAAUGAAAUCAUUUGAUCUUUCCAUGUUAUUUUGUGUGAAUGACACAAAGAGUCAAAGCAAUCAAGAAAUCCGUCCCCUACAGAGGUGCUGCAAACUCCUGUCAUGAAGCAGUAAAGUGACAGUGUUGUCUCCAGACAGCAAUGACCUGAAACGUGUAUGAUACAUGCUGGUUUGACAGGGAUAAGGUGUGAAUAUGCCACAAUCAGCCAGUAUUUAGCAGCUAUAGUGGUGUGAUAAUGUCAAGGGACAUAACUCGCGACAAACAGAUCACUGGAACAAGACAUUUGGUUUGUUGUUAUUCAUGGGUGUUAGGUGACAAUUUAUUUGUUCUGUUUCUCAUUAUUGUUAGCUAGAGGGUCGUAGCUCUUUUGUUUGGUGGGGUGGUGGGGUAGCCUAAUGGUUAAAGCGUUGGCUCGUCACGCCGAAGACCCGGGUUCGAAUCCCCACAUGGGUACAAUGUGUGAAGCCCAUUUCUGGUGUCCCCCGCCGUGAUGUUGCUGGAAUAUUGCUAAAAGCGGUGUAAAACCGAACUCAGUCAGUCAGUCUUUUGUUUGGUGAUGAUUUUAUGUGAAGCACAUUGGCUUAGGUGUACCUCAGGUGUCACUGAGUGGAUGUAGGUACACACCAAAUUGUCAGAACGAAUGAAGCAACCUCAUUGUUUUUAUUACUGAUUCUUGUUCUUUAGUCCCAUGAUGCUUUUGUGGUACUGUCACCAAUCAAAGAAGCUAUGCUUUUCAUUUUGCUAUAGGGCACUAAUAUCGUUUGAAGCGGUAUCUUGUACUAUGAGAAUAUCUGUUAUGUAUCUUGCACCUGACUGGAUUUCCAGAAUGGUGGUCAGCGUAUGGUUUUCUUCCUUCAACACAGAGUAUUGUUCAGUAAAAAUGAGACACUGUGCUGUAGGCAUGGUGCAUAUAUCUACUUUGAGUUACUGUUCCAGUGGUGUGCAUGGAGUAAAUUAUGCAAGCACGGAAUCAUGGCCCAUGCAUGCUGUCUACUAAGCUCUUAGCCUUGUUAUACAAAUAUUGAUAGUUGUUGUUUGUUGAUGUUUUCAGUUAAUAUUCAGAGCAGAACCAUUCUGACAUCUUCUGCCAGACAACAAUCACCCAGGCAACCUAAUUAUUCUUUUGAAGCAUGAUGCGUUCUGCCAUGUUACAAUUUCCAUAUGGAAGGACACAGACUGCUAUAUCCACCAAGGUCCUGACCCACAGGAUGCUCUGAGGUUGUGCCCCAGAAGCCAGUGUUAGCUGUAGUGCUGACUCCCCUUUCCCUCUGAAAGUGAGGAGUAUCAUCAUGAAGACCACAAAUCAGUCCUAUCUCAGGGAGAGUGUGAUGUGGUGCAUGUUUUGUGUUGUGUUGUCUUCCUUGUAGUUCCUGCUCCCACCUUUAUUACAGUUGGUAGUCACAAGGCAAUGAACUCCUCUUUUAGCCUAAGUGUUUCUUAAUGGUUACUAAUAUUUGAAAGCAUUUAUAACUUAUAGUUGUAAACGACAUAUUUGUAGUAACCAAGUAUUGUUUCUUAAAUAUGUUACUUCAAAAUAUGUUCAGAUAUGGACUGCUCCCAUUACUUAGCAGAAUCCUCACUUCAAAUUCGGAAUAAUGGCUUUGAGUUUGCUUUCACAAAAUAUUUGUCAGUGUUCUGUUGUUUGUUAUGAGCAUUUUGCCAACUGUAAACUGAUAAGCCAGUUGUAACGAUUAAAGUGGGUGUUUUGUUGGCACAGUUGUGGCCACAGCAGCUGCUCACUUAGAAACUUUCACAUGACACGGGGAUUGAGUCAUGUGUCCAUAGCAAGUUGACUUCAUGCUUGUUUUGAUCCCUUGACACAACCCCUUACUACGCAGUUUGUGGGUGAUCCCGCUUUUCAGUGGGUCAAACAUAUAAAACACAUCAUCUAUUUCAUACCUAUUUGUGAAAGUUCAUAAGCAGCAUUCCAUGCUAAAUGCAGAGUUUAGCAUGAAAAUUAAGUCGUAAUAUGUUGAAAUGAUAAAUAAUUCUUUUUUUUUGGUUAACAAAAAAUUCACUUGUAAAAAAUUGAUUGUGUGAGGUAUUUUUUGCUUUUUGCAUGGAAGUUAGCUCAAUUUGAUCACAGAAAGCUCUGGAACUAUGGCUUAUCACAUCAGGUAGUAUAUACGUAGAUGUGAUGUGGGUGGACAUGUGGGACUAGAGGCUGGCAGCAUGUGGUUCACACAAAGGGAGUGGUCAAUAUGCUCACAGCAAAUGACUUCAUUCCCUGGUAGUGCGAGUUACUCUUCAGUAGCCAUCUGUUGCUGUGCAAUUUGAGUUUUCAAUGCUGCACAAGGUCUAAGUAUAACAGCACCACCAGUGCCAUAUACAGCCUCCAACAGAAGUUAUUUUAUGUCAAACUCAUUGUUGAGUAUGUACACAAGCACCUGUUUCAUGGUUAACUGACCAUUCAAGAUAUUUGUUUUCAUGAAGUACAGAAGUUUUAAUAAUAAGUACUUAGCCUUUCCUAAAGUAACUCUGAAAGAUCUGCAAAAACUUGUUUGCUUUUGAUCACCUAGUUGCCAUGGACACUGUAUGUACUAAGCAGUAACUAUUCCUGUAACCAUGUUGACACUAGGAGUUACACAUUGCAUGAAUCAGUAGGAUGUUAUCAGCUGCUAGUACGGUGUUCACCACCUUGUAUAUAUUGUAUAGUCAUUGAGUGCUGCAUUUAACACUGUCAUAAUUUAUUGAAUGAAUGUGUAAUUGUCUUAUUGAUGUCAUGUGACAUGAUGCCAUACACAUUGUAUUUAUUGUCGCCAACAGAAUCAAUUCAUGUGUAGAUAUACACCCAUUAAAUGGGAUAUAAACAAA
rnacentral:misc_RNA from 1 species